GGUUGUCAUUGCUGUCAAAGUUCAAAUUCGAACGAAACUCAUUUUAACGAUCUUUGAAACAUUCAUAGUCAGAGUGCAUUUAGCAUUGUAAACGGGGAAUCCUUGAUCACUUCACCUACCCAGUAAAGGUACUUUACAUAGAGAAGGAAAUUGGGCUUCAGACUUCACAUUAAUCAUCAAAGACCAUAAUCAUGGUAAAACAGAAAAUGUCGAGCAAAACAGAGGCAGCAUACCCAUAUAGCAUGAGGCUUAAAAUAAACUCCCAAUUCUUCAAAAUUGAGGCAUGGUUUAGAAACUCUUUGACACCGGAGCCAGAUCUGAUAAGCAAGGAAACGGAUCCACUGCCCCGCCUUCAGUACAUGCCUGACUACAUAACAGAUCUCAUCGGCAAAAAUAAAAGGUUGAAGAAAAAGUGUGAACAAAUGCCUCAGGACAACAAAUAUCUAGAGCGGUACAACAACGUAAGACAAGAAAUAAGGACCUGGAUUCGACUCCAUGCAGCCGUACUCAAGUGGUUUGACAUGAUAACAGAGCCUGACCAAACUGGGAAUAAAAAUCACUUUUCUACUUCGCUCGAUGUAGCCCGCAUUAAAAGUUUAAUUAAAAACUUCAAAGAGCAUGAACAUGAGCCUCUUCAUAUCGCUCGAAUGAUGAUGACUAAAGAGUACACCAAAGACUUGACCACUGGAAAGGUAUUAGAGGAUAAAUCGGAGGCUAUCCACUUUCACUAUUACUGGUAUGCAUUAUUUGCAACUUAUGAAGAUUUCGUAUUAGCACACCCAGAUUAUCGCGAGAAUUUUAUAUGUCGUCAAAUAGAAAGAGAUUGGUACAACAUAUUACAAAAGGAACAUAAAAGACAAAAGUCAAGUUGGUCACAUUUAGUACAACAAUAUAAUUUAAGAAAAAGCCCUCGCUAAGUAAACCCCAAUGGUUGUACUUACCCUACUUAUAAUAAUUAAACUGGAUUUUCCAAA
rnacentral:lncRNA from 1 species